CGUGGGAACGUGCCCUUCACUACGGAAUAGUCCCGGGAAACUGGGUUUAAUACCGUAUACGCCCUUCGGGGGAAAGAUUUAUCGGAGAAGGAUCGGCCCGCGUUAGAUUAGAUAGUUGGUGGGGUAACGGCCUACCAAGUCUACGAUCUAUAGCUGGUUUUAGAGGAUGAUCAGCAACACUGGGACUGAGACACGGCCC
rnacentral:rRNA from 1 species